GUUCUUAAUUGAUUUAUUUCUUUUUAUGUCUGAAGAUCAAUGUUCUUAUUUUUCUUGCUGAUAUUUUAGAAUCUAAAUCUAGCAGGGGAAUGUAAAUUGAAACAAGUGUUAGUCUAUGUACGAAUAAAUUAAUUGAUAAUAGAAGAGUGUAAAUUGUGUAGAAUAAACUAAUUGAUUAUGUACCUGCGACCCAUAAGUUGAUCUCAUCACUGACCGCCUCUUGUUUGUGUGAGGGUUGGAACAAGUAAAGAUAGUUCAUCGUCGCCAUUCGGAAUUUUAACGCUUCAUUUAAAGCUUGGGCUUUUGGGAGUAGGAAUGUAGUACCCAUUUGUUUUAGGAGUUGACGUAUAACGCCUCUAAGUACCACUCCCCUCCAAAUCAUCCAUUCUAUUGGUUGCCCUCCUCGAAAAAGUGAAUUUCUACUCAUUGAUUUUUAGGUAAUGGGUCUCUACCGUGUCUCCUAAUCUCGCCAAGUAAUCUGCCAUGUUGUUAUGCACAUGUGGUAUGUGAUAUUUGGUAAAACGAUGACCUCUAUUACUGCCCCCUAAGAAAACUUUGCACACACUUAGGGCCGAAAGCUUGUUGGACUGACUAUAUUUGCCCUGAAUAAUUUUUAGGGCUAACUCCAUGGGGAUAUUUACUAUUUUAUUGUUUAUUAUACUAAUGACGUUUAAGGAGUCGGUUUCUCCCCUUAUAAUUCUUUUUUGCCCACACAAAUCAUUAGCUAAUUCGAUGCCCCUCGCGAAAGCCAUAGCUUCUAUGGCAUUGGUGUCGCUUUCAACCGUCCAUCCCAUGCAACAAAAAACUGGCAGACCAUAUUUAUCUUUGCAUACUACUGCCUUAGUGGCAUAUCUAUUCUUCUCAAUGUAAGAUGCAUUAGAAGACAUGAUGAAACCCCGCUCCAGGGGAUACUAUGUAUCUUGAGUGAGUACAAAUCUUUUGCAUGCCUAGUAAUCAACAAAACUAUCUAUCAGAUUAUGUAAAUUGUAGGAGAAUUUUUAUUAUCAAGAUACUCAUAUUUAUUUUUAUAUUCCACGUGAUGCACAAGAAACAUACUUUUUGCGAAGAUUUCUCUUUCAUACAACCACUUGUGAAUAAGGGUGUACAAAAAUUUCCUGGCUUACAUAGGACAAACAUAUUCUAAGUAGAAUAAUUCUUGAUUACGGAAAUUAUACUAUAUGUAAAAUGAUAUAUACAUUACAUUAUUAGAGGUGAAAUUACAAAAAACAUUGCAUUACAAAAACAUUAUUAUGAAUGUAGCACCAAUUACAACUUAACUUAAAUAUUCAUACCGCUCCUUCGAUUGGUUGCUACAUACAAGAGAAUAGUCAGGGAGUGCAACUGCUCCAGCAGAAUAUUGAAGAUAAAGGGGAGUGCAAUUGCUCCAGCAGAAUAUCGAAGACAAAGGUUUUAUGAAGAAGAUGUUGGCUCGCCAACUUCUGAAAUGAUUUUCGUUAACGGUCAUUUGGGAGGAGGCGUCAGAGUCGCAACAAGUUUUAAUAGUUUUAUGAAGAAGAUGUUGGCUCGCCAACUUCUGAAAUGAUUUUGGGUAACAGUCAUUUGGGAGGAGGCGUCAGAGUCACGACAAAGAAUUAGCAAAGAAAGGAGAAGGCCAAAUGCCACCGCAACUGCAGGAAGAGGAAUGCAGAUUGGAGCUGAAAGAUAAGGAGAUUGCAGGCCAGGGGCAAUCUUCUUGCUUUCAGAAUGAGGAUCAAACAAGAAAAUCGCCUCUAGUCGAAGUGAAACGAGCAGGAAAGCAGACUAAAAAGAAACAGAUCUGUAAAUCGACACUAGAGGAAUAGGAUGCAUAAACGCGUGUAUAUAUAUAUAAUAUAUAUUUGGAGAGAUCUGUCGCUUGCCUGCUCGCUAUUUAGCUCUACACAACAAGGAGUAUGCAAGUGUGUUGAUUUUUAAAUCAAUUUUGUUGUUCCUUGGGAAUCUUUAUGAAAUUAUUGGACAAAUAUGUUCAAACAGCUUACUUUUGUUGGGUAUACCCUUUGUUUAUUUUUUUAUUUAUUUUUUGGAGAUGGGUGUAUAUAUUCAAUAUUGAGUUGUUUCACUGCA